AGUCAACUCCACGGCAGUCCACGGUCAACUCUCAAGUCAAAAGAGUCGCGCUUGUCGUGCACGUGUUCGGACGUGUUUGUCCUGAAUAAAUUUUUGAAGAUUGCUGAUGCAAUCACAAUUUCCACUCAGACUUCGCUACGCGAUCAGUGAUUCAAGCUUUGUUAAACAAACAGUGGCAAAUCAGCGUAUUGUCCGCUGAAAAGCGGCAGGAGCCAAUAAAAAGUAAGAAGAAGAAGAAGAAGAACUCAAGUCAAAGGAUUCACGUCAAGGCUCGAGCCUCGAGGAAGGUUUUGAAAGACAAUGGAUUCUUGCUGGCGAUUUUGAUUCACAGUCCCGUUCUCAAUGAAUUCAGAUUAACCACGCAAUUAUUUCUGGGUGAAAUGCCACUUCUACUUCCUAUUCUCGUAAUUUAUCCAAGAGCGGUAGUAGUAUAUCAGGAUUUUCUUCCACGAUGUCCCUGUGCGAGGUAUUAGAACCACUUGAUUACGAGGAAUUCUUGGGACAGCAUCAGUCAGUGCUGGACCGUGAUCCUUUAAAACCAAUACCAGAUUUUCCACCGGGAGACGUCAAAUUGAGAGUCGUAAAGAGGAAGAUUCGAACAGAGGAGCCAGUAGUACCGCACGAAUCAAUUGAUACCGUGUCGCCUUAUGUGAAAAAAUGUUGAAAGUUUUACUUCAGACUGGGUCGUAAUACAUCGUAAAUACAAAGGUAGAAUCUCACUUAUCGCCAGAGACAGAUUGAUUCAGGAUACACUUAGACAAGAUUUUGAGGUAGAUCAAGAAGAUGCAAAUGGUUGUGUAUCACUGAACGAGGAGGAUGAUUUGUCCAAUUCCGGAGAUACUCCGAGAAGAUCUUGGGCAACUCUGGAUUUGCGGUAUUCGCAACAUGACUCUCUUCUGCCGAGUUUGUUAGAUCGUGUUUGCCUCGAAACGAUCGAUCAGAUGAACGAGCAGAAAAGAUUGGAGGAUCGACAGACGAGUCCGUAAGUCAACAACAGCGUGUAAAAAAAAGUAAUUGCUACUCUGAAAUGAUGUAUACAAAAUAGGCCAAGACAUGCCCAUUUUAUGAAGAAUUAGAUGAAAUUUUAGGCAAAAAGCCAUGCGUCAAGCCCGUUGCACUGGCCUCCAACAGGCGUCCCGUUCUGGAUAAAAUGUGCACGGAUGUAGACUGUAAAGAAGAACCUGAGAAAAAGAAGAAGAAAAGUAAAUCCGACGUUCUCGAUGAAAUUAGAGAGUGGAGGGUGGAGUCGAUGGAAUAUCGAAGAACCACUGAUGCCGAGAAGCAGAAACAGCGCGAGGAGCAACUUGAAAUUGCACGGAAGAGUAUCGAGUCUAUGGAUGCUCGCAUGGGUCAGUUAAUUGAUGUCUUGAAGAAAAAUUAAAGUUAUUCCUUCGGCUCUGGACGCAUAGUAUAUAACAAGUUCAAGUCCGUGGUAUCGUACGUGAUUGAUGAUCUACCAUUGUUCGAUAAGAAUGCAGUGGUUACUGUACCGAAGUUGUCGGUGUAUGAUUCACUUGACGAGGAAAUAAUAUAGAGUUAUCUGGAAUUCUCGCUCGCCUCGAUGAAGAAAGGCGCCUGCAGUGAGCAGUCCAGCCGUAUGACGGCCAUGGACAACGCCACCAAGAACGCCGGAGAAAUGAUCGACAAACUCACUCUCACGUUCAACCGCACUCAACGUAUAACGUUGUAACUUUAUAACGUUUGUAUUAUAUAUUAAGUACCAAAAUUGAAUUUCUAUCAGUUCGGAUAUCAGAAGCAUGUAACAACAUGAUCUUUUAAUCUAGUUAUAAAAGAUUACAGAUUCAUCAAUUUAGGAAGGUGUGGUAUCUCUUUCUUUUCUUACUUUUUAAUAUAAAAUAGUUGUUGUAGGUCAGACACAAUCUUGUGAUCGCGUAAUAAAAGGAAGAGAGAAAGGAAAAAGAUUCUAUAAUUGCAAUGUGUGUUUGCAGUACCGUAAGAAUUUUAAAGAUAAUUUAAAGUGUAUAAAAUGACGUGGCCUUUAGAGUACUAAAUAAGACGAUUACUUUUUAACUACAACCUUGUUUAUGUACUUCUAGCUUGUAUAUAGAACGAUAUUGCGUGAAUGAUGGAUGCAUUUUGUAAUCAAAUGCAGAAAUAUUUCGGUUUCUGCCAUGUCGCAUGACGUACGUAAUAAUACAAUUUUGCAAAAACGAUUUUCGAAGUUAGAGUUUCUUGUUGCUAGUUUGUAGUCUUAACACGUGUAAUAAUGAUUAUCGACUCGAGCGGUAUUUUUGAGUUGCACCGGACAUUUUGUAAAGGAGAAGUUUUUAAAAACCAUGAAAGCAACGCACAUACAAUUUUAAUUUCGUAAAUGCACAAUCCGAAUUUAUUAACGCUUACGAAUGAUUUAUUAAUGUUCAGCUCGAAAGUUUUGCUAAUUAGCGUUCUCAUUAUUAUGUAACAAACUGACAAAGAGAAAUAAAAUCUAUAUUUUUACAUAA